UACGAAGGUGGCAAGCGUUGUUCGGAAUCACUGGGCUUAAAGCGUACGUAGGCGGAACAGAAAGUGUUUUGUGAAAUCCCCCGGCUUAACCGGGGAAUUGCUUGGCAAACUACUGUUCUUGAGGCAAGUAGGGGUGCAUGGAACUCUUGGUGGAGCGGUGGAAUGCGUAGAUAUCAAGAGGAACGCCAAAGGUGAAGACAGUGCACUGGGCUUGUCCUGACGCUGAGGUACGAAAGCGUGGGGAGCGAACGGGAUUAGAUACCCCGGUAGUCCACGCCGUAAACGAUGUCUACUAGGUUGUGGGAGUUCUGACACUUCCGCAGUCGAAGCAAAAGUGAUAAGUAGACCGCCUGGGGAGUACGGUCGCAAGGCUAAA
rnacentral:rRNA from 1 species